rnacentral:tRNA from 1 species
GUCUCUGUGGCGCAAUCGGUUAGCGCGUUCGGCUGUUAAUCGAAAGGUUGGUGGGUCAAGCCCACCCGGGACG